rnacentral:rRNA from 1 species
CGGGGGGAGCAAGCGUUGUUCGGAUUUACUGGGCGUAAAGGGCGCGUAGGCGGCGCAACAAGUCACUUGUGAAAUCUCCGGGCUUAACCCGGAGCGGCCAAGUGAUACUGUCGUGCUAGAGUGCGGAAGGGGCUACUGGAAUUCUCGGUGUAGCGGUGAAAUGCGUAGAUAUCGAGAGGAACACCUGCGGCGAAGGCGGGUAGCUGGGCCGACACUGACGCUGAGGCGCGAAAGCCAGGGGAGCGAACGGGAUUAGAUACCCCGGUAGUCCUGGCCUUAAACGAUGGAUGCUUGGUGUCCGGGGUUACAUAGUCCCGGGGUGCCGGCGCUAACGCAUUAAGCAUCCCGCCUGGGGAGUACGGUCGCAAGACUG